GACGAACGCUGGCGGCGUGCUUAACACAUGCAAGUCGUACGGUAAGGCCCUUUCGGGGGUACACGAGUGGCGAACGGGUGCGUAACACGUGAGUAACCUGCCCACAACUUUGGGAUAACGCUAGGAAACUGGUGCUAAUACUGGAUAUGUGCUCCUGCUGCAUGGUGGGGGUUGGAAAGCUCCGGCGGUUGUGGAUGGACUCGCGGCCUAUCAGCUUGUUGGUGGGGUAGUGGCCUACCAAGGCGGCGACGGGUAGCCGGCCUGAGAGGGUGACCGGCCACAUUGGGACUGAGAUACGGCCCAGACUCCUACGGGAGGCAGCAGGGGGGAAUAUUGCACAAUGGGCGCAAGCCUGAUGCAGCAACGCCGCGGGCGGGAUGACGGCCUUCGGGUUGUAAACCGCUUUCAGCAGGGACGAAGCUUUUUGUGACGGUACCUGCAGAAGAAGCACCGGCUAACUACGUG
rnacentral:rRNA from 1 species